UCCCCCUGGCAAUGGGCAAAGAGACACAUUGUUGGUGGUAUUUUUGUUAUCAGUCAGGGGCAGAGCAGAUGGAAGUUUUUUGUUCAUCCUAGCUUGAUGCCUGGCUUGCUGGCCAAAGGUGUUCUGUGCCUAGGGCUCAUGA